rnacentral:rRNA from 1 species
AGUGAACGCUGGCGGCAGGCCUAACACAUGCAAGUCGAACGAGUGGCGGACGGGUGAGUAAUACAUCGGAAUCUGCUCUGUCGUGGGGGAUAACGUAGGGAAACUUACGCUAAUCCCGCAUACGAUUGAAUGUGCCGAUGUCGGAUUAGCUUGUUGGUGGGGUAAAGGCCCACCAAGGCGACGAUCCGUAGCUGGUCUGAGAGGAUGAUCAGCCACACUGGAACGGAGACACGGUCCAGACUCCUACGGGAGGCAGCAGUGGGGAAUAUUGGACAAUGGGCGCAAGCCUGAUGCAGCCAUACCGCGUGGGUGAAGAAGGCCUUCGGGUUGUAAAGCCCUUUUGUUGGGAAAGCGGUACCCAAAGAGAAAGCAACGGCUAACUUCGUGCCAGCAGCCGCGGUAAUUC